GUCGGCUGCAGGAGAGGAGAGGGAGCCGGAAUCGCAGCCGAACCUAUCUCGCCUGCCCCGCAUGCGGGCCUGCGUGAAGUCAAGAGUGCUGGACUCCCGCGAAAGUGGCGGUGAGGCGCUUGGGCCCUGGCCUAGAGAUGCUGAAACUGAGGAUUUUUGACCUAAGAGAGACGAAUUGGACUUAGAAGUUUUUCUAGGUUUUCAAGGUGGAAGCUUUGGCUUUCUGGCUCACAGGGACGUUAUCGGGACCACCACGCAGAAUGAGUACCAAAAAAAUUAUUCUCACCAGAUUCUAAAGUGAAAAAAAGCAACAAAGAGGCUUCAAGGCAGAAAGUGGUGGGACAAAGUGAAACUUCCAGGACCUCCUUUGGAGGAACCAAACAAUAGACUAGUGGUGAUGGUGGGCAAAGCCGUGAAAGUUUGGGCGGGAGAGUGGGGAAAUGUGGAGAUGUUCACAGAGACGCCUGGGGAAAUUACCCCAGAAGCAAGUUUUUGGUGAAAGUACCAUCCUUGCUGUCUUCAUGAACCACACAGGGGAGAAUGGAAAAAGCUCUGGACAGAGCUCUAACGUGGUGUGAUAUCAGAAGACACGUGCCGGAGAAAAGCCCUACCAGUGUAAGGAAUGUGGCACACGUUCCAGCCAGAGCAGAGCUGGGAGGCCACACCCAGGAGAUCCUCAGGGUGUGCAGUGAGGAGGGGGAAAGCUUUGCUUCUGGCUCACACCUCACCAUGCCCCACUCCAGGAAGAGGCCAUAUCGUUGCCUUGACUAUAAGAAAACCUUACGUGCCCCACACAGAUGGUGCAUCAGAGAAUCCACAUUGAAAUGAAAGCAAAGAAUGUAGUGAGAGUGGCAAAAGCUUCAGGUAGAGCUCAGCACCCUCAUGAGCACUAGGUGGCGACACUGAGCCAAAACUUCGUCCUUGUGUCAUGUGUGGGAAAAGCUUGAGGUAAAGCUCAUGCCUCAUGGUGCCCCAGAGAAUCCAGCUAGGGGGAGACCCUACAAUGCAAUGGUGUCAGGUGGCUUCUGCCCCAGCAUAACCUUCAUGAUGCACAGCAGAGAAGCCCUGCAAAUCCUGGAUGUGGGAAAGUUUUGGUCAUGGCACCAGCUUAAUUUUACAUUAUAGAAUCUCCUGGAGAGAAAACUUACCAGUGUUGUGCAUGGGAGAAGAGAUGUGGUGGCAGCUCUCAUCUUUGAAGAUACCAGAAAACCCACAGCUCAGGAAUGGUUCAACAGGGGAGAGUUCUAUGAGAUUCGAUUUCCUUGGUCAUAGGCAACUUACUGGGCAACGAGAGAAUUCACUACCCAAAAGGUGACUUGUCUUAUGAAUGAAAUACCACAGGAGCAAAGCUAUCUAUUGUUUUCCUUUACCCUUGGAUUAACUGCGUGGUGUUGAAUAGAUAUUCCAGGCACAGGGGGAGAGAGUGUGUGUCUUCUCACUUACCAUCUUUAUAUUGCAGCCAAUGAAAACAAUACUGAGCAAGGGUCAGAGAUGUCGAGAUCAAGACAAGAUUGCCUUGAUAUGAAGGUUCACGACCUUUGAAAUUAGUAGGGUUAUCUCAGCCAUAACUCUGAUGUUAGGGUGAACUCUGAGAGUCCACCUGUCCAGUUUUGGCUCUAUUUUCUGCCUCUGGCUAGGCAUGUUGGAU
ensembl:lncRNA